rnacentral:rRNA from 1 species
AGAGUUUGAUCCUGGCUCAGAACUAACGCUGGCGGCGUGCCUAACACAUGCAAGUCUUACGAGAACAUCCCUUCGGGGACUAGUAAAGUGGCGAACGGGUGAGUAACACGUGAGCAACCUACCCUUGAAACCGGGAUAACGUUGCGAAAGCGACGCUAAUACCGGAUAUAUCCAUGGUUCAUAUGAAUUGCGGAUCAAAGGUGACCUCUUAACAAUGUUGCUGUUUGAGGAUGGGCUCGCGGCUCAUUAGCUUGUUGGUAGGGUAACGGCCUACCAAGGCUACGAUGGGUAGCCGGCCUGAGAGGGUGAACGGCCACACUGGAACUGAGACACGGUCCAGACUCCUACGGGAGGCAGCAGUGGGGAAUAUUGCGCAAUGGGGGCAACCCUGACGCAGCGACGCCGCGUGAGCGAUGAAGGUCUUCGGAUUGUAAAGCUCUGUCAGAUGGGAAGAAACGUGUAAGUCUCAAUAGGAUUUAUACCUGACGGUACCAUCAGAGGAAGCCCCGGCUAACUCCGUGCCAGCAGCCGCGGUAAUACGGAGGGGGCAAGCGUUGUUCGGAAUUACUGGGCGUAAAGGGCGCGUAGGCGGCUUGAUAAGUCAGGCGUGAAAUCCCACAGCUUAACUGUGGAACUGCGUUUGUUACUGUCAAACUUGAGUACAGAAGAGGAGAGUGGAAUUCCUAGUGUAGCGGUGAAAUGCGCAGAUAUUAGGAGGAACACCAGUGGCGAAGGCGACUCUCUGGUCUGAUACUGACGCUGAGGUGCGAAAGCGUGGGGAGCAAACGGGAUUAGAUACCCCGGUAGUCCACGCUGUAAACGAUGGGUACUAGGUGUAGGAGGUGAUGAAAUCUUCUGUGCCGAAGCUAACGCAUUAAGUACCCCGCCUGGGGAGUACGAUCGCAAGAUUGAAACUCAAAGGAAUUGACGGGGGCCCGCACAAGCGGUGGAGCAUGUGGUUUAAUUCGACGCAACGCGAAGAACCUUACCAGGGUUUGACAUGUAUCUGCUAACCUGUGAAAGCAGGUGUUCCUUCGGGACGGAUACACAGGUGCUGCAUGGCUGUCGUCAGCUCGUGUCGUGAGAUGUUGGGUUAAGUCCCGCAACGAGCGCAACCCUCAUCCUUAGUUACCAGCGGAUAAUGCCGGGGACUCUAAGGAAACUGCCCCGGUAACGGGGAGGAAGGUGGGGAUGACGUCAAGUCCUCAUGGCCUUUAUGCCCUGGGCUACACACGUG